GUCUACGGCCAUAUCACCCUGAACAAGCCUGAUCCCAUCUGAUCUCGGAAGCUAAGCAGGGUUGGACCUGGUUAGUGUUUGGAUGGGAGACCACCUAGGAAGACCAGGGGCUGUAGGGG
rfam:Pteropus alecto contig98864, whole genome shotgun sequence.